rnacentral:rRNA from 1 species
UACGGGGGGGGGCAAGCGUUGUUCGGAAUUACUGGGCGUAAAGGGCUCGUAGGCGGCCAACUAAGUCAGACGUGAAAUCCCUAGGCUCAACCUAGGAACUGCGUCUGAUACUGGAUGGCUUGAAUCCGGGAGAGGGAUGCAGAAUUCCAGGUGUAGCGGUGAAAUGCGUAGAUAUCUGGAGGAACACCGGUGGCGAAGGCGGCAUCCUGGACCGGUAUUGACGCUGAGGCGCGAAAGCUAGGGGAGCAAACGGG